GGGACCCGGGGCUGGGGCUGGGGGGCAGGGGCAGCGGCCAGACUGUCCUGGCAGGCCCGGGACAUUGCUGAGCCGUGAGCACAGCCUGCAGGCAUCCAAGUGCUCUCCGCCAGCCUGAGCCAGGGCCCCUUCCAGCACCCCUCAGGCCCCCUCCUUCCCCCUCCCCCAGAGGCCUCCUUUGUUUUUCUUCCCCGUGCCACAGCCCCUUCUUCCAAAUGCCUUCACUCGGCUCCCAUCCCACCUCAGUCUCCCCUCGGCCCCUCUCAGCCAGUUUCCUCAGCCCUGAAAGACCACCUCCUCCUGUCCGGCCCCCUCAGCCUCCAGCCACCCUUUCCCUGCCCCAGUCUGGCAGAGUCCUCGGCAUAGGCUGCCAGGACAGUCUCCCCUGGGGGCCGCUCUGCCACCCCCUCCUUCGAGCCCCCCUGUGGCCUCAGGGCUGAGCCUACACUUCUCACCUUGGAGUUGAGAGGAAUGCGAAGUGUGGCUGAGGCCUACGUCGAGGGCCUUACCCCUGACUGCUCGAGACUCACAAAGUACAGCCCGGCCACACCAGGCUCGUCGCAUGGAGGCCCCGCCUGAGCCGGCUCUGUUCCCCGCGGGGCCGCCUGCCAUCUCCUUACUUGGCCUUGAGCGCCGGAGGGCAGGGGCUGCGUCUCGACCCCGCGUGGACCCUGUGUCCGCUCACAGGUCAGGUGUCUUCGGAGCAGCUGCCGUGUGCUGGCUGCCCACGGAGCCGCAAACACAGGCACCAGACGGUUCAUCGCACACGCCACGCGUGUCGGGGACGAGCGUUUGUCGAGUGGAUGAGACGUGCAGAGGCUCAGAGUGCGUGUCCUGGGGACCUGGAGCCAGCUGCCUGCAUUCAGAUCCAAGUGGUGCCACCUGUUAGCUGGGUGGCCUCGGACAAGUCACCUGGCCUCUCCGUGCCUCGGUUUGCUCCUCUGUAGAACAAGUGUGGUCAUGGUCUGUCCUUCAGAGGCCUGUGUGAGCGCUGGGCUUCAGGUGCCUAGCACAGGGCCCACAGUUGGUAACUGUUCAGUAAACAUGUGCUGUCAUCAUCAUAAAUGUAGUGAUUGUUCUUCCAUGAA